rnacentral:rRNA from 1 species
UGACCUCAAAUCAGGUAGGACUACCCGCUGAACUUAAGCAUAUCAAUAAGCGGAGGAAAAGAAACUAACGAGGAUUCCCCUAGUAACUGCGAGUGAAGCGGGAAAAGCUCAAAUUUGAAAUCUGGCGGUCUUUGGCUGUCCGAGUUGUAAUCUAGAGAAGUGUUACCCGCGUUGGACCGUGUAUAAGUCUCCUGGAAUGGAGCGUCAUAGAGGGUGAGAAUCCCGUCUUUGACACGGACUACCAAGGCUUUGUGGUAUGCUCUCAAAGAGUCGAGUUGUUUGGGAAUGCAGCUCAAAAUGGGUGGUAAAUGCCAUCUAAAGCUAAAUAUUGGCGAGAGACCGAUAGCGAACAAGUACCGUGAGGGAAAGAUGAAAAGAACUUUGGAAAGAGAGUUAAACAGUACGUGAAAUUGCUGAAAGGGAAACGCUUAAAGUCAGUCGCGUUGGCUUGAAAUCAACCUUGCUUUUGCUGGGUGUACUUUCUAGUUGACGGGUCAACAUCAGUUUUGACCAGUGGAUAAAGUCAAUGGGAAUGUGGCUCCUUCGGGAGUGUUAUAGCCCAUAGUCGCAUACAUUGGUUGGGACUGAGGCUCUCAGCACGCCUUUAUGGCCUGGUUUCGACCAAGUUCGUGCUUAGGAUGUUGGCAUAAUGGCUUU